rnacentral:ncRNA from 1 species
CAGAGUAGGGAACCGCGCGUUAAGUGCCGCUCGGACGGAGAGUUGCCGAGAGGACGAAAAGCGAGAUCAGCGAAGAUCAGUCGCUUGCGGUGCGUUUCCCGCAUCUCGCUG